GAGAUUUUGACUACUUGAGACGUACAACAAACUUAACAUCGUAUUCUGAAAUCGCAGAUGAAACUGAAAACCUCACCUAACAUUUUUCUUUAUAACACAUGGUUAAAUUACUAAAUUCCGAUAUAAUGUGGAUACGAGACCUUUUAACAACUUUAGAAGCUCAUCACAGACAUGCAAGUAGCAUCAAUGUGAUAGGAACAAUUCUUAAAAUAAUUGCUGGAACGCCUGACUUUGAUGACUUCGAGGGACAUAAAUUUAAACAACAAGAAAUCACAAACGCUAUAAACAGACAAGACAACGAAGACGUGGACCUGAAUAUGCAAUUUUGUGUCAUAUGCUGCAGAAUCUAAAUGGAAAGUUGGCCACAUGUAUUGUUAAAUAAUUAUUUUGUUUUGAUUCGAGUAAAUGAAUACCGUGAACGCAAUCCAUCUGACAGGCCUAGAAAUGCUUUGUGUAUAGUAACCAGGCGGCUAAAGGCAAAUUUCCGGAAGAAUAACGAGUUUCUCGGCAAUUGAGGAGGCAUAACUCAUUUAACGUAGAGUUGAACAACUACGUGAUACUGCCCAACAUUCCCUUCGCCGACAAAGUGUAACAUAUAGGCAAUUCGAGCGUGAACGAGAAGCAUUAAACAACUUCGUAGGCAGGAUGAAUCUUAGAGGCAAAUAGAGCGGGAAAGAGACGCUAUGAACCACAAAGCUCGUCGUCAGGACGAAAACUACAGAUUAUCCGAACAACGCUCUGUUCGUCGGGAAGAUGAACCAUCAAGCUCGUCGUCAGGACGAAACCUACAGAUUAUCCGAGCAACAAAGAAAUGCUGCACAACGCUCUGUUCGUCGGGAAGAUGAAUCCCAGAGGCAAUUAAAACGAGAUAGGGAUACAUUAAGCCAUCGAGUUAGUCGCCUGGAUGAAGUCUAUAGAAGAUUGGAGUGAGAGAGAUGCAUUAAGUCACCAGGUUCGUCGCCAGGAUGGAGUUUAUGGUCAUCAAGAACGAGAAAGAGGUGCCUUCAAUUACCAGGCUCUCCAGCAGGAUAAGAUUUUAGACAACAAGAACGAGAAACGCAUUAAAUCACCAGGUUCGUCGCCAAGGUGAAAAUUAUAGAACUGGAACGAGAAAGAGAUGCAUUUUAUCACCAAGCUCUUCGGCAGGAUGAAGUUUAUAGACAAAAAGGACGAGAGAGAGAGGCUCGUAGGCAAGAUGAAUUGUAUAGAGAAAUGGAGCGAGAGAGAUGUUCUAAACCGUCACGUUCGUCGGCAGGAUGAAACGUACAGACAACUUGAGCAAAAGGGGGCGGGGGGUACUUUUCGUCGUUCCCAACGUAGACGUAAUGAGAACUAGAGACAAACCGAACGUGAAUUGGACUCACAACGUCGCAAUGUUCGAAGACACGAUGUAACUUAUCGCACAAUUGAACCAGUCCGUAAUACUGAACAACGUCGCGAAGCGCGACGAGUUGCUAGUCAGGAAUUUCAGGAGUAGAAUAGGAUUAGACAUUGUCGUGUCUUAAUUCAUUGGAUGAAUCCUUACAAUCGUGAACGUUAAAAUAGCCUUCAGUCGAAGAGAAGUGCUAACAAAAUCUUUCCCCAGAAUCCCGCAGGGAAAUGUUACAAGCACACUCCAUACGACACAGGUCAAGACAAUUGAGCGAGUUCUACGAUAUAAUCAGGGGUCCAACAGAAAUUUGUAUUUGCUGCGGAAGGCUUUGGUUCAUUAAACAAAUUAAAAAUAUCACUUCAACAUUUCCAUCAGAAAAAAUUCCAUACAAAUUUUGAGAUACGUAUAUCAUGUAUGUUGCUCAAGGUGGAAAAAUACCUUCAAUAUGCCUUUCUAAAAGGUUACAUUUCCCAGAUAUACCAGAUGACCUUUGUGGUUUAACAUAGUUAGAACAGCGAUUCGUUUCACCUUGAAUACCCUUUAUGAGAAUCGCUUCCCUAGGAUACAAUCGCCAAUGUGCUGUAAGAGGUGCCGUUUUAACGUACCAAUUUAGUUAAAUACAACUCUGAAUGUGAUUCCGCGAACAGUCAAUCAUACUGAAGUUGUGCAAGUUUACCUUAAGCGUAGACUACAAUACGAACACAGUUUCAUGACUGAAGCGAUAUGCCCGGCGAAGAUUUAGAAAGCCGCAAGAUAUCUUAUAAAUACGGUAAAUACAAAAUACACAACAUAGUUCUUCUAGCGAUUGGUUAAAUAGCAUGGAUUGUAAAUAAGAACAACCCUUUGUUUCUAACGUUGAAGAUCUCGAGUUAGUAUCGCGGUUAAACAUUGCCACCUUUAUACAAGAUGAUGUGGGUGAAGUAAAUCCACAAGAAACAUGAUUCGGUAAUAAUCCUGUAAAGAAUUUACCAUUGCAGAGUAUUUCCAUUGCCCCAGGUGAGGGACAGCAACCAUUAGAUAUGCUCUUGGAUGAGGAUUCUGAGAAACUGUACCAUACUUCAAUAUACUGCGGUGGUAAAAAAUUGCACUGCUACUAUUUGAAAAAUUAUUAAGUUUGUAGUUCGGCGUUAUGACAGACGGUGUGCCCGUGUGGAAAAAGUCUUAUAUUGCUAUAGUAGCAUUUCCACAUGCUUGAGAAAAAAAGUUGGAAUUAGACAAUUUACUGCUGCUUAAAUUCUAGAUGAUUAACUUAUCCAAACCUUGUGCAACAUGACGACGGCUAUUAUAUAUUUAAAGGCGUACGAUAGUCACCAGCUCAUUGGGAAGGGAAAAAAAUAAAUAUGUUUUGUCCAUGAUUAGACAGCUAGGACUACCGACAUUUUUAGAACUAUAUUCGCAGCUGAAUCCCAAUGGCCAGAAUUACAUUAAAUUGGUAAAAAUUUUGGAAGGAAAGGAUUUUAAUGAAGAAGAAGCAAUAUCUUACUCAACCCAGAAAAAAUAUGAUCUUAUCCGAAGAGAUCUAAUAACAUGCUCUAGGUAUUUCUAUCAGAGAGUAAGACAUUUAUUUAAAUUUUUCAGGUCCAAUGAUGGAAUAUUUAAAGACCAUUAUGUUAUUGAACAUUACUUGAGAAAAGAGUUUCAACAGCGAGGAUCUCCCCAUGGAAUAUACUGGUUACAUAACGCACCUCAAUUAAACAUUUCUGAUGAUGCUACAUUCCAACCAGUGGCGAACUUCAUUGGCCACUUCAUUUCUACUGAUUCGACUUCUACUGACAUUCAAAAUAUAACAAAUAUGAC